ACUCAGCUGAUGAGUCCCAAGUAAGACGAAACGUGAGUCCUGGAU
rfam:Schistosoma mattheei strain Denwood, Zambia genome assembly, scaffold: SMTD_scaffold0006261